AAGGGCACCACAAGAACGCGUGGAGCAUGUGGCUUAAUUUGACUCAACGCGGGAAAUCUUACCGGGUCCGGACACACUGAGGAUUGACAGGUAUUAUCAAAAAUACUUAGGUGUUUUUGUGUUAAAUAUGCUAGUCCUUUCAUGAUUAUGUGAUAGGUGGUGCAUGGCGUUCUUAGUUCGUGGAGUGAUCUGUCUGCUUAAUUGCGUUUCACUAAGGGCCUAUAAAUUUACGUAUGUAGUAGGUACUUUGACCCCUACCACUUUUCACGAAGUGAUAGUGCGUGUCUUAGUUUUGCUUUUACUCAUACAAUUAGGUCCUGAAAGCAACGAAACGUGACCGCAACCUCUUUGUUGCCUUUAUUUAUAACGUAUUUAUAAAUUUAUUAUUUUAUACAAAAAAAAAAGGCUUUUAAAACUAGGAGGGAACCGCUUGUAACUUUUUUUAAAACAAGAGGAAAGGUUGCCGGCAAAUAAACAGGUCUGUGAUGCCCCUUAGAUGUUUCGGGCCGCACACGUGCUACAAUGAUUAUUGCAGUGAGCAUCUCAUUUUUACAACACCGCUUGCGCGUGUCCAAUUAUAUAUAUUUAUUUAUUUAUUUAUAUUAUAAUUGUGUUGCAUUGCGCGCGGUAAAGCCUACUUCGAAAGUAAGUGGGUAAUCAAUUAGAAGUAAUGAUUUCCCUAAUUUUAAUAGCACACAUAUAUACGGCAUCUUUACCCGGAUUAAGCUUGUCUUAGUCUCUGUGUGUAUCGAUGUUUUUUCCGUAUGUGCAAUUGUCAAUUCAUGGUGGGGACAGACCAUUGUUAAUUGUUGGUCUCGGUCUUAACUAGGAAUGCCUUGUACGGGUCUUUGGUUCAACAAACCACCCGGAAUACNNCCCUGCCCUUUGUACACACCGCCCGUCGCUCUUACCGAUGGACUUCUCUGUGAGUUUGAGGGACUGGGUAUUGAAAAAAUUUAUUUUUUCUACCACCUAUGGAAACUUAAACGGGCAGUGUGGUCUAAAGGAAAGAGAAGUCGAACAAGGCA
rnacentral:rRNA from 1 species